rnacentral:other from 1 species
CAGAAGCUGCAGUGGCGUUGUGGCUUAUAUACUUGGGUCGAUACGCUAUAAUUGGGAGCUUACCUAUUCCGGCUGUGUGAAUGCCUCUACGGGCGUACCUGAUGUCGGAAUGACGCGCCCACCUGAGCAGAAAAGGGUUCAGUUUAUAUAGGCCACAGCGCCACUGCAGUUUUUAA